rnacentral:snoRNA from 1 species
AAUUCGUGGUGCAUGUAUUUUUAAUCAAUAUUUUGAACUGUUCCCAUGCUUCAUAGAAACUUUCUCCCUCCAUUUGUCUAAAAAUAACAAUCUCUCUUCUUAGUU